UACGAAGGGGGCUAGCGUUGCUCGGAAUCACUGGGCGAAAAGCGCACGUAGGCGGAUUGCUAAGUCAGGGGUGAAAUCCUGGAGCUCAACUCCAGAACUGCCUUUGAUACUGGCGACCUUGAGUCCGGGAGAGGUGAGUGGAACUGCGAGUGUAGAGGUGAAAUUCGUAGAUAUUCGCAAGAACACCAGUGGCGAAGGCGGCUCACUGGCCCGGUACUGACGCUAAGGUGCGAAAGCGUGGGGAGCAAACAGG
rnacentral:rRNA from 1 species